rnacentral:lncRNA from 1 species
AUAGAGGGUUUUUUUAUAAGAUGACCCUCCAGAAAUUUAAAUUUAGCAAAAUAACUCUACCAAACUUUUAUUUGUAAAAUUAAUCCUCCUUGCGCCACGUGGGCACCACGUCAGAGAUUCUUUAAAAAGACGGUGAAUUGUUCACCGUCUUUGUAAUAUUUAUUGUGAAGGCGGUGAACCAUUCACCGCCUUUAGUACAAAUUCCUACUCUGAUGUGCAAAUCUUUUCAAGUCCACAGUAUGGUAUUCUUGAUAAGACGGUGAAUCGUUCAUCGUCUUCAUAAGGCGGGUAGCCCUAGGAAGACAGUGAAUCGUUUUCUGUUUUCUCGAGGGCACAGAAAUGGCGGACUUGAAAAGGUGGAUUUGUAAGGGGAAGGGAUUCACAAUAAAUAUUACAAAGACAGUAAACGAUUCACCGUCUUUGUGAGAAAUCCUGACAUAGCGCCGACGUGGCAAAAAAAUAGUUAGUUUUAUAAAUAAAAUUUUGACAGAUUAUUUUACCAAUUUCGAGUUUUUGAUGGGUCAUUUUAUAAAAAAAAAAAA